rnacentral:rRNA from 1 species
AUGGGCAUCCCCCAAUUCGAGACGGAAGCACCGCAUGCCAACCCCCACCCCUGCCCGCUCCACUUUCCUUUUAUUUCCGUCACGAACCCAGCAGCUCCACUUUCCUUUUAUCCGCCACCACGCCAAGCCAUCUCGGCGAAGGACAAGGCUCGGGCUGCCGCCACCGCCUCUGCCCCGGCUAUAAAGGCGCGCCCUUUGGCCGGCCGCUCCUCCUCCUCCUCUCUUCCUCCGCGCCGCGCCUCUCGCCUGCUCGCCGCGCUCUGCCCGGUCUGCUCCUCCUCCUCUUCGUCCGGGCGGUGCCUCUCUCCUCCGACCUCCCCGCCGCGCUCCGGCCGUAUGUUGCUCUUUCCAGGACCGAUAAUUCUGAUAGUAGCUGAUAGUAUGCCAAGGACUGCUCAGGGUUCCUAUCACUUUCUGUUUUACCAGCUAAGUAGUGGCCUCCUGGCUUGUAGUUGGGUAAUGCAGAGAGAGAAUCCAGGGUGGAUGGAGGCUUUCAUGAUGGCUAAUUUGAUUUGUAAUGGUUCUGAUGGUGUGCUUCUUGUGUUUGAACUAAAGCCGUGGAUCACUCAUCAACCUGGUCAGCUACCAGAACUUCCUACUGCUGAUCCUGGAAUGUUUCCGAACAUGCUCCCGAACAUGUUCAAUUUAUCAGCCCUAGGACAGUCUAACUAUUUUGUUCUUCUUUCUGCAGACGGUUGCUCUAUUCUUCAAUCAAGUUAUGGCUGCUAUCGGGGGAAACACAGUUGGUGGCAUAAUCAUCUGAAUCCAACCAUAUGGAAUGAUGCUUGGACUACUGAGGAGGAACAUGCACUGAUUAAUGCCAUCAGUGGAUCUUCACAUAAUGUGAUAGCAUGUGAUGAAGCUCUGAAAUGCAUCCUUCCUUGCUAUGAAAAAUCUAGGCAUGCCAGGAACUUCAUGAUUCCUUUCUCAAGCUGUAUGAGCCUUGGAUGCAACGCACGGUUCUUGGCGCGAGGAUCGCCAUGUGAGGCGCAGAAAUUGUUUGUGCUAAUUGUGAUUCAAUAUGGUUUCUUUGUCUUCGCUGGCAAUUCGAGCGUCUUCGACCACUCGGAGUCAAGUUCUUCAUCUGCUCCAGCAUUGGGCUAA